GAAAGUUGAAACCCGUCGCUCUCUGCGUCUCCCGGUCGCAGCUCUCAGCCUCUCCCCCGCCGCCUCCCAUCCCCUUUCUCUCGCACAGCCGGCGUCAGAUUCCGUCGCGGUCCGCCACUCCGGCCGCCGCCUAGCACGGCCACGACCACGGGCUGAUUUACCACUUCCACCAUAUGGAUUCGGUCUUCCCCGCCACCACCGCUCGCGCGCCGUACUAGGGUUUCCGGCUGCUCCAUGGACAAGCAGCUGCAGCUCCUCCCCAACACAACCGCUGCUAGGGAGACUGGCUAUAUUUACAUCAUGCCAAAGAAUAUCUUGAAGCUCAUACGCAUAGCAGAUCUACGGACACAGGUUGCGGGUUUCCUUUAUGGGCUGAGUCCACAGGAUAAUCCCCAACCAAGGAGAUCAGAUGCAUAUCGAUUCCCCCACAGCAUGGAACUCACCAGAUGGCGGCUCUUCCAGCGAAUCUUCGGGAGCAUGAGUUCCUUGCUGACUUCGAGCCAUUGGGAUGGAUGCAUACCCAGCCAAAUGAAGCUCCUCGGCUAUCACCCCAGGAUUUGACGUUGCAUCCUAAGAUUCUGGAGAACAACAAUGUCGUGCUCGCUGACCGCAUACAAUUGACUCCGUAGCAACAAGGAUGAUCGUGCUCGCUGACAGCAUACAAUUGACGCCGUAGCAACAAGGACAACGGUAGCAACCCUGGUGGUUACCUCCCGACUCACUAUGAGAAAGCCGAGAUGCUUCUCAGCGACCGCUUCCUUGGAUUCCACUCCCUCUGUAUCAAAUAUAAGAUGUUUUCUUAUAUACAAAGGGAGUUGUCUUAUAUUUUGAUCAUAUCAAUCCGUUCCGGACAAUGCUCCCUGGAACAACAACUUCAUGGGAGUGAAGCACGGCCCACAGAUGAAGUACAUUAUGAAGUUGGGGACGCCUCGAGACUUGUACCAUGAGGACCACAGUGACAUGGAUGAAGUUCGUAAGACACCAUGCUGUAGCGCGCCCUCCACCCUGUCUUUUAACACAUGGAGACCUACAGUGAAUUCUUGGCAGUUUUGAAUAGAGAGAUCCCUGUAACUCGUAACUUUGACCUGCAAUGAAGUAUUCAAAGUUUCGAAUA